rnacentral:rRNA from 1 species
UACGUAGGGUGCGAGCGUUAAUCGGAAUUACUGGGCGUAAAGUGUGCGCAGCGGCCGCGCAAGUCGAGUGUGAAAUCCCCGAGCUUAACUUGGGAAUUGCGCUCGAAACUACGUGGCUGGAGUGUGGCAGAGGAAGGUGGAAUUCCACGUGUAGCGGUGAAAUGCGUAGAUAUGUGGAGGAACACCGAUGGCGAAGGCAGCCCUUCUGGGCCAACACUGACGCUCAUGCACGAAAGCGUGGGGAGCAAACAGG